rnacentral:rRNA from 1 species
AGAUUGAACGCUAGCGGGAUGCUUUACACAUGCAAGUCGAACGGCAGCGCGGACUUCGGUCUGGCGGCGAGUGGCGAACGGGUGAGUAAUAUAUCGGAACGUGCCCAGUAGCGGGGGAUAACUACGCGAAAGCGUGGCUAAUACCGCAUACGCCCUACGGGGGAAAGGGGGGGAUUCUUCGGAACCUCUCACUAUUGGAGCGGCCGAUAUCAGAUUAGCUAGUUGGUGAGGUAAAGGCUCACCAAGGCGACGAUCUGUAGCUGGUUUGAGAGGACGACCAGCCACACUGGGACUGAGACACGGCCCAGACUCCUACGGGAGGCAGCAGGUGGGAAUUUGGACAAGUGGGGGAAACCCUGACUCCAGCCAUCCCGCGUGUCGCGAUGAAGGCCGUUCGGGUGUAAAGACUACGUU